rnacentral:rRNA from 1 species
UACGUAGGGCGCAAGCGUUAUCCGGAAUUAUUGGGCGUAAAGAGCUCGUAGGCGGUUUGUCGCGUCUGCCGUGAAAGUCCGGGGCUCAACUCCGGAUCUGCGGUGGGUACGGGCAGACUAGAGUGAUGUAGGGGAGACUGGAAUUCCUGGUGUAGCGGUGAAAAUGCGCAGAUAUCAGGAGGAACACCGAUGGCGAAGCAGGUCUCUGGGCAUUAACUGACGCUGAGGAGCGAAAGCAUGGGGAGCGAACAGG